rnacentral:snRNA from 1 species
AUCGCUUCUUGGCCUUUUGGCUAAGAUCAAGUGUAGUAUCUGUUCUUAUCAGUUCAACUGACUGAGCCACCCUGCCACCCCAGAUUCUGCCCUUCUUACACUGUUUUCAUUGGCUAAAGGCAACAGUUUAUAAUCUAGAGAUUUAGAGAACAUACAUCAAGCACAGUGUAUUAAUCUGGUUCCUAUAGUAGUAAUGCAGCAUAACGAACAAACCCUAA